CCUACGGGUGGCAGCAGUGGGGAAUAUUGCACAAUGGGGGAAACCCUGAUGCAGCGACGCCGCGUGAGUGAAGAAGCACUUCGUUCUGUAAAGCUCUAUCAGCAGGGAAGAAAAUGACUGUACCUGAGUAAGAAGCCCCGGCUAACUACGUGCCAGCAGCCGCGGUAAUACGUAGGGGGCAAGCGAUAUCCGGAUUUACUGGGUGUAAAGGGAGCGCAGACGGCAGUGCAAGUCUGGAGUGAAAGGCGGGGGCUCAACCCCCGAACUGCUCUGGAAACUGUACGGCUGGAGUGCAGGAGAGGUAGGUGGAAUGGCUGGUGUAGCGGUGAAAUGCGUAGAUAUUAGGAGGAACACCGGUGGCGAAGGCGUCUUACGGGACUGUAACUGACGUUGAGGCUCGAAAGCGUGGGGAGCAAACAGGAUUAGAUACCCGGGUAGUC
rnacentral:rRNA from 1 species